GGCGACGAUCAGUAGCGGGUCUGAGAGGAUGAUCCGCCACACUGGGACUGAGACACGGUCCAGACUCCUACGGGAGGCAGCAGUGGGGAAUUUUGGACAAUGGGGGAAACCCUGAUCCAGCCAUUCCGCGUGAGUGAAGAAGGCCUUCGGGUUGUAAAGCUCUUUCAGCUGGAACGAAACGGUACGCUCUAACAUAGCGUGCUAAUGACGGUACCAGCAGAAGAAGCACCGGCUAACUACGUGCCAGCAGCCGCGGUAAUACGUAGGGUGCGAGCGUUAAUCGGAAUUACUGGGCGUAAAGCGUGCGCAGGCUGAUUGUUAAGCAAGAUGUGAAAUCCCCGGGCUUAACCUGGGAAUGGCAUUUUGAACUGGCAGUCUAGAGUGUGUCAGAGGGGGGUGGAAUUCCACGUGUAGCAGUGAAAUGCGUAGAUAUGUGGAGGAACACCAAUGGCGAAGGCAGCCCCCUGGGACAACACUGACGCUCAUGUACGAAAGCGUGGGUAGCAAACAGGAUUAGAUACCCUGGUAGUCCACGCCCUAAACGAUGUCAACUGGUUGUUGGGGGAGUGAAAUCCCUUAGUAACGAAGCUAACGCGUGAAGUUGACCGCCUGGGGAGUACGGUCGCAAGAUUAAAACUCAAAGGAAUUGACGGGGACCCGCACAAGCGGUGGAUGAUGUGGAUUAAUUCGAUGCAACGCGAAAAACCUUACCUACCCUUGACAUGUCCAGAAUCCUGCAGAGAUGCGGGAGUGCCCGAAAGGGAAUUGGAACACAGGUGCUGCAUGGCUGUCGUCAGCUCGUGUCGUGAGAUGUUGGGUUAAGUCCCGCAACGAGCGCAACCCUUAUCAUUAGUUGCUACGCAAGGGCACUCUAAUGAGACUGCCGGUGACAAACCGGAGGAAGGGGGAUGACGUCAAGUCCUCAUGCCCUUAUGGGUAGGGCUUCACACGUCAUACAAUGGUCGGUACAGAGGGUUGCCAAGCCGCGAGGUGGAGCCAAUCCCAGAAAGCCGAUCGUAGUCCGGAUUGUUCUCUGCAACUCGAGAGCAUGAAGUCGGAAUCGCUAGUAAUCGCGGAUCAGAAUGUCGCGGUGAAUACGUUCCCGGGUCUUGUACACACCGCCCGUCACACCAUGGGAGUGGAAUCUGCCAGAAGUAGGUAGCCUAACCGCAAGGAGGGCGCUUACCACGGUGGGUUUCAUGACUGGGGUGAAGUCGG
rnacentral:rRNA from 1 species